AGACCCGAAACCCGGUGAUCUAGCCAUGGGCAGGUUGAAGGUUGGGUAACACUAACUGGAGGACCGAACCGACUAAUGUUGAAAAAUUAGCGGAUGACCUGUGGCUGGGGGUGAAAGGCCAAUCAAACCGGGAGAUAGCUGGUUCUCCCCGAAAGCUAUUUAGGUAGCGCCUCGUGAAUUCAUCUCCGGGGGUAGAGCACUGUUUCGGCUAGGGGGCCAUCCCGGCUUACCAACCCGAUGCAAACUGCGAAUACCGGAGAAUGUUAUCACGGGAGACACACGGCGGGUGCUAACGUCCGUCGUGAAGAGGGAAACAACCCAGACCGCCAGCUAAGGUCCCAAAGUCAUGGUUAAGUGGGAAACGAUGUGGGAAGGCCCAGACAGCCAGGAUGUUGGCUUAGAAGCAGCCAUCAUUUAAAGAAAGCGUAAUAGCUCACUGGUCGAGUCGGCCUGCGCGGAAGAUGUAACGGGGCUAAACCAUGCACCGAAGCUGCGGCAGCGACACUCAGGUGUUGUUGGGUAGGGGAGCGUUCUGUAAGCCUGCGAAGGUGGCCUGUGAGGGUUGCUGGAGGUAUCAGAAGUGCGAAUGCUGACAUAAGUAACGAUAAAGCGGGUGAAAAGCCCGCUCGCCGGAAGACUAAGGGUUCCUGUCCAACGUUAAUCGGGGCAGGGUGAGUCGACCCCUAAGGCGAGGCCGAAAGGCGUAGUCGAUGGGAAACGGGUUAAUAUUCCCGUACUUGGUGUUACUGCGAAGGGGGGACGGAGAAGGCUAUGUUGGCCGGGCGACGGUUGUCCCGGUUUAAGCGUGUAGGUGUGUGUUCCAGGUAAAUCCGGUUCACUUUAACACUGAGGCGUGACGACGAGGCACUACGGUGCUGAAGCAACAAAUGCCCUGCUUCCAGGAAAAGCCUCUAAGCAUCAGGUAACAUCAAAUCGUACCCCAAACCGACACAGGUGGUCAGGUAGAGAAUACCAAGGCGCUUGAGAGAACUCGGGUGAAGGAACUAGGCAAAAUGGUGCCGUAACUUCGGGAGAAGGCACGCUGACAUGUAGGUGAAGUGAUUUACUCACGGAGCUGAAGUCAGUCGAAGAUACCAGCUGGCUGCAACUGUUUAUUAAAAACACAGCACUGUGCAAACACGAAAGUGGACGUAUACGGUGUGACGCCUGCCCGGUGCCGGAAGGUUAAUUGAUGGGGUCAGCGCAAGCGAAGCUCCUGAUCGAAGCCCCGGUAAACGGCGGCCGUAACUAUAACGGUCCUAAGGUAGCGAAAUUCCUUGUCGGGUAAGUUCCGACCUGCACGAAUGGCGUAAUGAUGGCCAGGCUGUCUCCACCCGAGACUCAGUGAAAUUGAACUCGCUGUGAAGAUGCAGUGUACCCGCGGCAAGACGGAAAGACCCCGUGAACCUUUACUAUAGCUUGACACUGAACAUUGAGCCUUGAUGUGUAGGAUAGGUGGGAGGCUUUGAAGUGUGG
rnacentral:rRNA from 1 species